GCCGACACCACAAGAAUUCCCUCCCAUUCUUUCAUCUUCUCUACAUCUUCUUGAAGGAAACCCUAAUCCACAAACUAAUACACUUACACAUAAAUUACAACAGGUCUCUCCCAUCUCUCGAUCUCUUCUGCAGACACAACACAGUAAACCCCAACACCUCCACUCAUCUUUUCCUCAGAUGCUCACCACCGCUCCCCUGCUACCCUUCUCUUCCCUCUCGACACCUUCUUAGGUGGACAACACCGCCGGCGGCAGAUGAAGAUACGCCGCCGUGGUGGUAACUCUGAGCAACGAAACAGCCCCCCUCCGACCGACUCCACACAUCUCGAUUCCCUUUUUUUUGCGGCGAAGAUCUUGAGCGGCGACGAAGAACAGAAGAGCAAAGAGGGAUGUCGAAGAGAAGCUCCGGCGGAAGCAGCGCCGCUGACUUCGGCGGCGACGUGCUGUUUGCUGGAUUUCCGACAAAACCCCGGUUUGGUUCGAUUCGAGUCUGGUUCAGGUUCGAGUUUCUUGUUUCGAGUUUGUUUCUAUUCUGGCAGUCAAGGUCAGAUUCAAUGUUCGGUUCCAGUUCAAGUCUCGGUUCAGUUUCUGACAAGUGAUUUCCGGUGCAGGCUCGGUAUAGCGGUGGUGACUCCGGCUUGAGUUGUGAUUCGGUUCAGUUUAGGUCUUGGUGCAACUCGGUUCGGUUCCGGCUCGGGUUGACCGGUCAAAGCUGGUCAACUGUCAGUCAAAUGUCGAGUCGACACAAGUUUUAGGUGACCUCAGUGUUCCACCCUCCUAAUCUCGUACACUCGUCAACACUUGGUUAAUCGGAAUACUUAGCAAUUUUGUUGAGGAUGACGACGCCUUGAACUUGAAGUAAUGAUGACGCUUAGAUACACGCCUAGACGUCUUAAGUUAAUGUACUUGUUUGCUGUAGUUUUGUAUUUAACAUAUUGUAUAUCAAGUUGUUGUAUUUGAUUUAAACCUUUGUAUUCGAUUCUUAGAAAUGAAAUGAAAUCCAUUAUUUAA